AGCCCAAGAAAUAAAAGUUCACGUCUCGCAUUUUUGUUUCUUUGGAAAUCGACGAGUAAAAAUCCGAUCCGAUCCGACCAACCUCCUAUUCUGUCCUCUCCUAUUCUAUCCGAUCUGAAAGAAGCCCACUUAAAGACAGUGAUGUAGCUGUCGUCGGGCUCAUUGAGUGACUUCUCUUGCACCUCGUGCACAUAACGCGUCGUAUGGUCGGUCGUGCAUUUCGAACGACGGCUUACAAGGAAGGAGUUGCAUUAAAUCGAAUAUCGUCGUACGAAAAAAAAAAAGAAAUCUCUGCUAGCUCUCUUGUUCACUGAUCGAAGGAUACAUAAGUAGGAUGUAUUAUUAAACUUUUAGAAUCCUACUCUUUGUUUUGAAAAAAUUCCUUUUGAUCUUUUUACCUUAGUAUAUCAUCAAUAUUAUUGACGUGACGUUUUUAAUUUUUUAGCAACGUGAAAUUACAUGAGCCGAUUGAUCGAUGGAACGACGCAUCACAAUCUUUUCUUGAUGAGGAAGCAACUUUUAAAUUAUUAGAAAAAAGUGAGAGUGCAUAUCUUAACUAUAAUUAGAUAAAAUAAUAUAUACAAGAAUAAAAGGAAAUCUCAAUGGAUUGGAAGUGUAUAAUCCUCGAAAGAAAAGUGCAAUGAAACUAGAUAUCUAUCUACGUAUAUUAAUUGUAAGACUAUCAUAUUAGUAAUAAUUAUUG